AUUGAACGCUGGCGGCAGGCCUAACACAUGCAAGUCGAGCGAGCGGCGGACGGGGGAGUAAUGUCUGGGAAACUGCCUGAUGGAGGGGGAUAACUACUAGAAACGGUAGCUAAUACCGCAUACCAUCAGAUGGGCCCAGAUGGGAUUAGCUAGUAGGUGGGGUAACGGCUCACCUAGGCGACGAUCCCGAGCUGGUCUGAGAGGAUGACCAGCCCCACUGCAACUAGGACACGAACCAGACUCCUGCGGGCAGCAGCGGUGAGGAUUAUUCAAUGUUAGGCGCAAUCCUGAUGCAGCCAUGCCGGGGUUAUGAAGAGGGCCUUCGUGUUGUAAAGCACUUUCAGCGGGGAGGCUUUACCAGCAGAAGAAGCACCGGCUAACUCCGUGCCAGCGGCCGCGGUAAUAC
rnacentral:rRNA from 1 species